GGGCCCGCACAAGCGGUGGAGCAUGUGGUUUAAUUCGAUGAUACGCGAGGAACCUUACCAGGGCUUAAAUGUAGUGGGACAGGUCUAGAGAUAGACCCUUCUUCGGACUCAUUACAAGGUGCUGCAUGGUUGUCGUCAGCUCGUGCCGUGAGGUGUCAGGUUAAGUCCUAUAACGAGCGCAACCCCUAUCGUUAGUUGCCAGCGAUUCGGUCGGGAACUAUAAGGGGACUGCCGGUGCAAACCGUGAGGAAGGUGGGGAUGACGUCAAAUCAUCACGGCCCUUACGUCCUGGGCUACACACGUGCUACAAUGGUCGGUACAGAGAGCAGCCACUACGCGAGUAGGAGCG
rnacentral:rRNA from 1 species